GGAGAGGUGGCCGAGUGGUCGAAGGCGCGCCCCUGCUAAGGGCGUAGGGAUCAAAAGUCCCUCGAGGGUUCGAAUCCCUCCCUCUCCGCCA
rnacentral:tRNA from 1 species